rnacentral:rRNA from 1 species
UACGUAGGUGGCAAGCGUUGUCCGGAAUUAUUGGGCGUAAAGCGCGCGCAGGUGGUUUCUUAAGUCUGAUGUGAAAGCCCACGGCUCAACCGUGGAGGGUCAUUGGAAACUGGGGAACUUGAGUGCAGGAGAGAAGAGUGGAAUUCCACGUGUAGCGGUGAAACGCGUAGAGAUGUGGAGGAACACCAGUGGCGAAGGCGACUCUUUGGCCUGUAACUGACACUGAGGCGCGAAAGCGUGGGGAGCAAACAGG